rnacentral:lncRNA from 1 species
UGGGUGAAGAAGUGAGAAUGGGAGAAGUAAGGGUAUUUUAUAGAUUGAGGAAUGAGUUGCUACGAUGGAAGCGAAAGCAAGUUGGCUCUAUAUAUUGUGGUGAUGUUAUUAGUUUGCAUUACUUUGCUUCAUGAUCUUCUUAUGGAAAUAUAUCAAAUUGGACCAAAGAAGGUCAUAAAAUUUAAUGAGAAUAUAUUCUAUUUACCUUUUGAAGAUAUUUUUUUUUUAUAUAUUUUUUUCCAUUAUAGUUUAGGAAAUCUUCUAUAUGCAGUACUCUAAAGAUUAUGAUUAUGAUUAUGAUAGUGAAAUAAAUUCGUUCAAUACACGAAUCUCUCAUCACCUUCUAUUAGUGUAUAUAUGUAUAAGAGUCUUUGUA